GAUGAACGCUGGCGGCGUGCCUAAUACAUGCAAGUCGAGCGAACAGACGCGGCGUUUGUUCCUUUGACGUUAGCGGAGGACGGGAGUGUAACACGUGGAUAACCUACCUAUAAGACUGGGAUAACUUCGGGAAACCGGCGCUAAUCCCGGAUAAUCUAUUGCACCGCAUGGUUCAAUAGUGAAAGACGGCUUUGCUGUCACUUAUAGAUGGAUCCGCGCCGCAUUAGCUAGUUGUUAAGGUCACGGCUUAGCAAGGCAACGAUGCGUAGCCGACCGGAGAGGGUGGUCGGCCACACGGGAACGUAGACACGGACCAUGGGCCUGCGAUACGCAGCAGAAGGGUACCGGCGGCAAUGGGCGAAAGCAUUACGGAGCGGCGCGGCGUGAGAUAUGAAGGCCUCGGGAGCGUAAAACUCUGUUAUUAGUGAAGAACAAAUGUGUAAGGAACUAUGGACGGCGUGACGGUACCUGGUCAGAAAGCCACGGCUAACUACGUG
rnacentral:rRNA from 1 species